UCGAACGGUAACGUGGGGAGGAGCUUGCUCCACCCUGACGACGAGUGGCGAACGGGUGAGUAAUACAUCGGAACGUGUCCGCUCGUGGGGGACAACCAGCCGAAAGGUUGGCUAAUACCGCAUGAGUUCUACGGAAGAAAGAGGGGGACCCGCAAGGGCCUCUCGCGAGCGGAGCGGCCGAUGACUGAUUAGCCAGUUGGUGAGGUAACGGCUCACCAAAGCAACGAUCAGUAGCUGGUCUGAGAGGACGACCAGCCACACUGGGACUGAGACACGGCCCAGACUCCUACGGGAGGCAGCAGUGGGGAAUUUUGGACAAUGGGCGCAAGCCUGAUCCAGCUAUUCCGCGUGUGGGAUGAAGGCCCUCGGGUUGUAAACCACUUUUGUAGAGAACGAAAAGACAUCUUCGAAUAAAGGAUGUUGCUGACGGUACUCUAAGAAUAAGCACCGGCUAACUACGUGCCAGCAGCCGCGGUAAUACGUAGGGUGCGAGCGUUAAUCGGAAUUACUGGGCGUAAAGGGUGCGCAGGCGGUUGAGUAAGACAGAUGUGAAAUCCCCGAGCUUAACUCGGGAAUGGCAUAUGUGACUGCUCGACUAGAGUGUGUCAGAGGGAGGUGGAAUUCCACGUGUAGCAGUGAAAUGCGUAGAUAUGUGGAAGAACACCGAUGGCGAAG
rnacentral:rRNA from 1 species